GAUGAACGCUGGCGGCGUGCCUAAUACAUGCAAGUCGAGCGAACAGACGAGGAGCUUGCUCCUCUGACGUUAGCGGCGGACGGGUGAGUAACACGUGGAUAACCUACCUAUAAGACUGGGAUAACUUCGGGAAACCGGAGCUAAUACCGGAUAAUAUUUUGAACCGCAUGGUUCAAAAGUGAAAGACGGUUUUGCUGUCACUUAUAGAUGGAUCCGCGCCGCAUUAGCUAGUUGGUAAGGUAACGGCUUACCAAGGCAACGAUGCGUAGCCGACCUGAGAGGGUGAUCGGCCACACUGGAACUGAGACACGGUCCAGACUCCUACGGGAGGCAGCAGUAGGGAAUCUUCCGCAAUGGGCGAAAGCCUGACGGAGCAACGCCGCGUGAGUGAUGAAGGUCUUCGGAUCGUAAAACUCUGUUAUUAGGGAAGAACAUAUGUGUAAGUAACUAUGCACGUCUUGACGGUACCUAAUCAGAAAGCCACGGCUAACUACGUG
rnacentral:rRNA from 1 species